CUUGAGCACCUUGAGGUCGACCUCAUGCAACAAGCAGUGGACGCGGUCCACUACCAGCUCCAGGAAGCCCGAAACGUAGGCACGCCACAGGAACAUGUUGCAGCCUAGAGAGAUCUUUCCGUCCAAUGCGCUUGCUAGGAACUCCAGGUGCAACCCCAUAACCCUCUCUCGACGGCGGGACACUGCUGUCGGGUCAAUGCCCCAAGCGAACAUCCCAGCGUACACUGCAAAGUAGGCAAGUGCAUGUCCACNCUUAUGCUUUUUCUAUCUCAUUUGCUUCUUAACAUGUCAAUUUAUGCAAUUAUAUGUACAUUUAAGCAAACUCAUAUUUAUGUAUACUAGGUUUAAGCUCACGGUUAUGUAUUUGAUUUAAAUUGGUUUGGAUGAAAAGAAUAAUGGGUUUAAUUUUGGUUGGAUUGAAAAUGUCAUUAAAUGGGUAUAGUGGAUAUGGUUCGAGUAUGGUUCAACUAUCAAACCAUUCUCAUGUUUAUGCGCAGUACCAGCUUCGUUUCACGCAGCUCCUAUGAAGACAAAAUUUGUAAAAUCAAUCAAGAGAGGAACGGAGCAGAGAAUGGAUCGGUCCCAAUUGCUAGCCCAGAUCAGAACACUGGACUCAAAUCUGAGAAUGUUGCGGUUUUGACGAGCUGUGACAUACUCGUGCUCUGGUGGUGGUGCCGGGUUGCGCCACCGCGGCUUGCCGCCUUUGUCCCCGAGUAUCACCCGCGCCGAUAGCAUCGAAGCUCCCGAUCGACAGUAAUCAGACUCAGCAACAACUCUUUGGGCGAAACACAAGGUCUCUUCCUUCGCCGGUGAGGAUUGAUAUGCUGGAUCCUUGCAUAGAGGAAAAAUUGGGCAUACAGUUGCAAACAUCCUCGUAUACAUACAGUUGCAAACAUCCUCGUUUAUUUCUCUAAGUACCUCUCUAAGCAUCUAGCAUUGUACAAGGCCUAAAUGGGUUAAAUCUUGUAGAGCAGUUACUUCCACCAUUCACAUAUAGAGAUGGCGGUUAGCAGAUGUUAUUGGGGUAUUAGGGAGAGUAGAACACCUAACAGUAUUCCACAGAAACCAAGCAUACACACGCUCGUCGUCUGGUUAUGUACAGUCAGCAACAUCGAUAACGAAGAAUAUACCAGCAACUCCAGAGUCGGUCACCACUCGCUAUCCAGUAUCAACUCUGCGGCGACACCCAUUGCCUCCGGCCCACCCCUACAAAGGAUGGCCACCGCAAGCUCCUUCUCUUUCCACUGCCGGAGCCCAAUGCUAAGCUUCUUGAGCACCUUGAGGUCGACCUCAUGCAACAAGCAGUGGACGCGGUCCACUACCAGCUCCAGGAAGCCCGAAACGUAGGCACGCCACAGGAACAUGUUGCAGCCUAGAGAGAUCUUUCCGUCCAAUGCGCUUGCUAGGAACUCCAGGUGCAACCCCAUAACCCUCUCUCGACGGCGGGACACUGCUGUCGGGUCAAUGCCCCAAGCGAACAUCCCAGCGUACACUGCAAAGUAGGCAAGUGCAUGUCCACCCAACCUGUAUACCAUUCCUCCACUGUCUCCUCCUCGGUCCAG
rnacentral:lncRNA from 1 species